CAGUAGCCACGGUAAUAUGGAGGGUGCAAGCGUUAAUCGGAAUUACUGGGCGUAAAGCGCACGCAGGCGGUCUGACAAGUCAGAUGUGAAAUCCCCGGGCUUAACCUGGGAACUGCAUUUGAAACUGUCAGGCUGGAGUCUUGUAGAGGGGGGUGGAAUUCCAGGUGUAGCGGUGAAAUGCGUAGAGAUCUGGAGGAAUACCGGUGGCGAAGGCGGCCCCCUGGACAAAGACUGACGCUCAGGUGCGAAAGCGUGGGGAGCAAACAGGAUUAGAUACCCGAGUAGUCCCUGUCUCUUAUAC
rnacentral:rRNA from 1 species